AUGGGCCAGCUUUAUGGAUAUAGCAUAGACUUUUUGAAUAGGAUACUUAAUAAGGUGCAGCAGACAGAGACUGCUACAAAUACCCUAGAAGAAGCUGAGGGAGUAGGGUUUGAAUCCGUCCCAUAUGUGAUGAAGGGCUCCAAGUUAAUUAAAAGAUUAAUUGAGAAAUCCAAUAAAAGAAUAGCAUAUAGGAGACACCCCACAAUAUACAACUAUCUUAGGAAUGAUAAAGAUGAAGUGGAAUCCAAAGGUCAGGAGUAUCCUUAGUGCCAGUCAAAAACAACAUCACGGACGAAAAUCAAGCUUAUAUAGGAGUAACAACUCGAACACUUAGCCAGAAGUUAGACGAACAUAGAAGGGAUUUAGCUAGAGGUAAAACCAACAUGGCCUUAGCGAGGAGUGUAUUUGAAAAUGAUCUGCUAGUAGAGUGGCAUAAAGCAAAGAUCAUAAGACCAUUAAGAAAAGAAAAACAUGCU
rnacentral:lncRNA from 1 species